GCCAACCUGGCUUAACAGCCUGCUUUGUGAGUUCUGUGGGUGGGUGGGGUUCCAAGACCCCUCCUCCAGGAUCUGCUUGUCAUCAUUCUGGAAGCUGCAGCCUGUUGCUGGAGUUGUCACGUGACUGAGGCUGGGCUGCAGCCCCAUCAAGCAUGCAGUCCCCCUUGCUGCCUACAUGGACUGUUCUGUCUGGCCAUCCAUCACUCACUUCCAACAGACUGCUUUUCUUAGCUGCAUUAUUGUUGGAGAGGGCUGGGGAGAGCUUGGUUGCAGACGCUAGAUUUCAGGUCCUCCUGGAUCCUGUGUCUGGUCCCACAUGUCUGUCGCUUUCCAGGACAGAUAUGAGCCAAGCUCAUUCACUUGUGCUGCUGAGGUCCCUGUGAGGAGCUGCACUGUGUCCUGGACCCACAGUGAGCAUGGACAGCGUGCUCUCGGGAAGACCCAAGGGACCAGCUACUGGUGGGCUUUUGGAUCUCUUUCCAGGAGUUUUGGUGCUGCUGGCAGGACGCGGUUUCCCAGCUCUCCGAGGGCUGGAGGGCACUGCUUCUUCCAUCUCUGUGCCUUGUGGAAGGUCAGAGUGUGUGGGACACCUGUGAGGUGUGUCGAUAUUGGCCUCAGAUCAAGCUGUCUAGAGAUCAAGGGUCCUCCGGGAAUGCCGCUGGUCUGGGGUGUGACCAGAGGGUGCUGAAAGGUUAGUGGUCCGAGCUUGGCAGCUUCUCCAGGCCCUGCUAGUGCGUACGUAAGAAGAAAAGGUAAACUCGCUCUGUCCUUCCACGGAGAUUCAUCCCCGCAAAGGAGUUGAGGGGUCCAGGAAGAAUGGGCUGAGUCCCACACCCCCAGGAGGUUCCACAGUUGGAAAGGCUGGCUAGAAGUGCAAAGCUGUGACUGGUGGGACUUCCUGGUAGGAAGGGAACAAACGAAUGAAUCCUGGAGUUGCUUUGCCGGCUACUCUGGAAGCUGGCUCCUUUGGAAGCUGUCGUUGUCAUGUCUGGAGCCCCAGGAGAGGUGUUCCCAGGAGACUCCCUGCCCAGCACUAUCUAAUUCAUCUUUAGCGCUGCCCUCUGA